rnacentral:rRNA from 1 species
CAUGCAAGUCGUGCGAGAAAGUAUCUUCGGAUAUGAGUAGAGCGGCGGACGGGUGAGUAACGCGUAGGAAUCUACCUAGUAGAAGGGGAUAGCCCGAGGAAACUCGGAUUAAUACCGUAUACCUCCUUCGGGAGAAAGAAGGCCUCUCUUUGAAGCUUUCGCUACUAGAUGAGCCUGCGUAAGAUUAGCUUGUUGGUGAGGUAAAGGCUCACCAAGGCUACGAUCUUUAGCGGGUCUGAGAGGACGAUCCGCCACAUUGGGACUGAGACACGGCCCAGACUCCUACGGGAGGCAGCAGUGGGGAAUAUUGGACAAUGGGCGAAAGCCUGAUCCAGCCAUACCGCGUGUGUGAAGAAGGCCCUAGGGUUGUAAAGCACUUUAAGUUGGGAAGAAAAGUUAUUGGUUAAUACCCAAUGACCGUGACAUUACCAUCAGAAUAAGGACCGGCUAAUUCCGUGCCAGCAGCCGCGGUAAUACGGAAGGUCCAAGCGUUAAUCGGAAUUACUGGGCGUAAAGCGCGCGUAGGUGGUUUAUUAAGUUGGGUGUGAAAUCCCCGGGCUCAACCUGGGAACUGCAUCCAAAACUGAUUCACUAGAGUACGAUAGAGGGAGGUAGAAUUCACAGUGUAGCGGUGGAAUGCGUAGAUAUUGUGAAGAAUACCAAUGGCGAAGGCAGCCUCCUGGAUCUGUACUGACACUGAGGUGCGAAAGCGUGGGUAGCGAACAGGAUUAGAUACCCUGGUAGUCCACGCCGUAAACGAUGUCAACUAUCUGUUGGGAAGCAUUGCUUUUCAGUGGAGCAGCUAACGUAAUAAGUUGACCGCCUGGGGAGUACGGCCGCAAGGCUAAAACUCAAAUGAAUUGACGGGGACCCGCACAAGCGGUGGAGCAUGUGGUUUAAUUCGAUGCAACGCGAAAAACCUUACCUAUGCUUGACAUACUUGGAAUACUUUGUAAUGAAGUAGUGCCUUCGGGAGCCAGGAUACAGGUGCUGCAUGGCUGUCGUCAGCCCGUGGUCGUGAGAAGGUUCCGUUUAAGUCG